ensembl:snRNA U1 U1 spliceosomal RNA
AUAAUACGUGGUAGGGGAGGUACCAUGAUCAUGAAGAUGGUUUUCCCAGGGCGAGGCUUAUCCACUGCACUCUGGAUGUGCUGACCUCUGGGAUUUCCCCAAAUGCGGGAAACUUAACUGCAUAAUGUGUGGUAGUGGGGGACUACGUUCACACUUUUGCCCACA